CCACGCCCUGCAGGCCCAGGACCCCAUUUCAGCCCAGCCAGGGCCCUGGUUCCCUGCCCCAGCAGUGCCACAGGCCAGCCUGCCCCUGGUCCCAUCCCCGGGCUCUUUGAUUCCCCACACUGACCUCAGACACGGCUUAUUCCCCUCUCCUGGCCGACGCUUGCUGUCCCCACUGCUGUCACCCCAGUGUCCUGCCCUCCUGCCUCUGCCUGUGGGACUGUGCCUGUGGGUGAGGUGACAGCCCGGCUGCCUCGCGUGGCCUGCCGCAGGGAGCAGCCCUGCGCCUGCUGCCCCUCAUGUCUUGCUGAGCUGCUCUGCCUGGACAGUCCCAAAUCCUUGGUGUUUUCUGAGGCAUAAUUUACCAACUAGAUUGAACAAACGAAGGCAAUAUUCUGAAUAACAUCAUUCUCACAGUUAAACGUCAGUUUCAAAGCAGGGCAUUUGAAGACAUAAAAGCAAAAGUGAAACAGUUGAAUCAUUUCUAAGUUCCCCUAAUUAUCUUGGAAUUUGUUUGAGGUGAAUAUCACAUGUCCCUUGCUGCAAUUAAGAAAAGUCUAUUUGAUUCCUGAAGCAACAAGGUUGUUCAUCACUGAUGUAAAAUUGUAGUUAUAUCAGGUGUGUUGCUUAGAUAAAGUAUGGUUCUCUUUUGCAGAAAGAAAUAGAAAUAUGAGAAAAAGCAGGUGAAAGA